GUCUACGGCCGUGCUACCCUGAAUAAGCCCAAUCCCAUCUGAUCUCGGAAGCUAAGCAAGGGCGGGCCUGGCUAGAUGGGAGACCAUCUAGGAAGACCAGGUGCUGUAGGCG
rnacentral:rRNA from 1 species